rnacentral:rRNA from 1 species
UACGGGGGGAGCAAGCGUUGUUCGGAUUUACUGGGCGUAAAGGGCGCGUAGGCGGCCACUGCAAGUCAGUUGUGAAAUCUCCGGGCUUAACCCGGAAAGGUCAACUGAUACUGCAGGGCUAGAGUGCAGAAGGGGCAACUGGAAUUCUCGGUGUAGCGGUGAAAUGCGUAGAUAUCAGGAGGAACACCGGUGGCGAAGGCGGGUCUCUGGGCCGAUACUGACGCUGAGGAGCGAAAGCGUGGGGAGCGAACAGG